GACUGGACUUGAGUGACUCAAUCUACUCAAAAACAUGUCCAUUAAAUCUGUGAUGCCAUUCAACCAUCUCAUCCUCUGUCCUCCCCUUCUCCUCCUACCGUCAGUCUUUCCCAGGAUCAGGGUCUUUUCAAGUGAGUCAGUUCUUCCCAUCAGG